AACGAACGCUGGCGGCGUGCCUAACACAUGCAAGUCGAACGGUUGUAGCAAUACAAUAGUGGCGCACGGGUGAGUAGUGCAUGGGAGAUCUGCCAAGUGGAGAUGGAUAGCUACGGGAAACUGUAGAUAAUACGUCGUAAGCAGUAUUGUAGUAAGACAGUACUGGAAAGGUUGGGACCGCAAGGCCAGCCGCCAUUUGAUGAGCCCAUGUCCCAUUAGCUUGUUGGUAGGGUAAAAGCCUACCAAGGCGAAGAUGGGUAGCUGGUCUGAGAGGAUGAUCAGCCACACUGGAACUGAGACACGGUCCAG
rnacentral:rRNA from 1 species